UUUAACUGUUACCAUUUCCCCUUUAACUGUUACCAUUUCUCCUUUAACUGUUACCAUUUCCCCUUUAACUGUUACCAUUUCUCCUUUAACUGCUACCAUUUCCCCUUUAACUGUUACCAUUUCUCCUUUAACUGCUACCAUUUCCCCUUUAACUGUUACCAUUUCUCCUUUAACUGCUACCAUUUCCCCUUUAACUGUUACCAUUUCUCCUUUAACUGCUACCAUGGUGGUGGACUGGUCCAUGGGGAUAGCAUUAGAGAGUUCUGCCCUGGGGAAGGUCCAUGGGGAUAGCAUUAGAGAGUGAUGCCCUGGGGAAGGUCCAUGGAGAUAGCAUUAGAGAGUGCUGCCCUGGGGAAGCUGUAGGGAGGUGGUGGGCUGGUCCAUGGGGAUAGCAUUAGAGAGUGCUGCCCUGGGGAAGGUCCAUGGGGAUAGCAUUAGAGAGUGCUGCCCUGGGGAAGCUGCAGGGAGGUGGUGGACUGGUCCAUGGGGAUAGCAUUAGAGAGUGCUGCCCUGGGGAAGCUGCAGGGAGGUGGUGGACUGGUCCAUGGGGAUAGCAUUAGAGAGUGCUGCCCUGGGGAAGCUGCAGGGAGGUGGUGGACUGGUCCAUGGGGAUAGCAUUAGAGAGUGCUGCCCUGG